UAUGUGCGUAUAUGUAUUUGUUUAAAUAUCUUCUAUAUGUCUAUCUAUAGGUUAGCUUUCUGGGGCGAUGUUUACGGGCAACUGUGGGUAAUAUGUGCAUAGAUCAGGAAUAACAUAAACAUUAUCCAAGAUCUGGAAAAAUAUUUGAUGUCAGACCCAGACCCAGGAAUUAUAUGAAUGAACAGCAUAUCCAAAGUCUCGAAUAAUUCGAUUUGAUGGGCUCCAGUGCAAACUAGAAUAAUUAGUCAGCAUCAUUAUUUCAAUUAAGACAAUAUUAAGAGCUUUGUAUUAUUAACUGAAAAUGCAUUUAUCAAAUCAAAUCAAUGCAUUUUCCAGUUUAAAAUAAUUUGUUUUUGACUUAAUUUUCGCCCUGUUGACACUCGGAAAUUUAUAUUAUUAUUAUAUCGCGAUUGAUGGCAAAAUGUUACAACUAUAUCAACAUAAUGGUUGUUUUGGACAAAUCAUGAUGGUAAGUUUAAUGUGUACUUAAACAAAUAUAUUUCUUUGUAUUGUGUAUAUACACUUUUUUCUUUACUAAUUUGCAUUAAUUUUUCAUUCAGUCGGUCUGAACCUUAUAACAUCACUCUAUAAAAUCUAAUCUUGUGUUUUAAUUCUCUUUUAAUCUGAAAGAUUAUGUUCUCUGCUGUUUGGAAUUAAUUUAACUAAGUUAAAUAUAGAUUAAACAGAUACAAA